UGGAACGCAUCGAGAACCCAGAGACCAGGAUGAUCGCAGAGGUCUUCCAUAUCAAAAAGCAGGGAGAAAGAGAGACCGUAAACCUGCAACGUGAGUGCGGUAAUUUCAACUCCACGUACAAUGGUCUAUUGGCGAGACUGCGUGGAGAGCCACAUACACGGACGACUGAGAGAGGAAACAUUGACGAAAAUGAAACUGGGUGAUGAGCAAGGUGCGCUCGUUAAUUGGGGUUUUGGGAAAACCAUUAGUAUAGUUGUGACAGACCAAGCUGUAAGGUUGCGUUCAGCAUGUUGCGUCUGAUGAGGGCUGAAGUGAAGUAAGCCGAAACGCGUAACGCAAAAUAUGCUGUUUUUGUCUGUUGUCACCGAGAAAAGCCAAUAUAUAAUAUUAAAUA
rnacentral:lncRNA from 1 species